rnacentral:rRNA from 1 species
GAUGAACGCUGGCGGCGUGCCUAAUACAUGCAAGUCGAGCGAACGGACGAGAAGCUUGCUUCUCUGAUGUUAGCGGCGGACGGGUGAGUAACACGUGGAUAACCUACCUAUAAGACUGGGAUAACUUCGGGAAACCGGAGCUAAUACCGGAUGAUAUUUUGAACCGCAUGGUUCAAAAGUGAAAGACGGUCUUGCUGUCACUUAUAGAUGGAUCCGCGCUGCAUUAGCUAGUUGGUAAGGUAACGGCUUACCAAGGCAACGAUGCAUAGCCGACCUGAGAGGGUGAUCGGCCACACUGGAACUGAGACACGGUCCAGACUCCUACGGGAGGCAGCAGUAGGGAAUCUUCCGCAAUGGGCGAAAGCCUGACGGAGCAAAGCCGCGUGAGUGAUGAAGGUCUUCGGAUCGUAAAACUCUGUUAUUAGGGAAGAACAUAUGUGUGAGUAACUGUGCACAUCUUGACGGUACCUAAUCAGAAAGCCACGGCUAACUACGUG